rnacentral:rRNA from 1 species
AUUGAACGCUGGCGGCAUGCCUUACACAUGCAAGUCGAACGGUAACAGGUCUUCGGAUGCUGACGAGUGGCGAACGGGUGAGCAAUACAUCGGAACGUGCCUAGUAGUGGGGGAUAACUACUCGAAAGAGUGGCUAAUACCGCCUGAGAUCUACGGAUGAAAGCAGGGGAUCGCAAGACCUUGUGCUACUAGAGCGGCCGAUGGCAGAUUAGGUAGUUGGUGGGAUAAAAGCUUACCAAGCCGACGAUCUGUAGCUGGUCUGAGAGGACGAUCAGCCACACUGGGACUGAGACACGGCCCAGACUCCUACGGGAGGCAGCAGUGGGGAAUUUUGGACAAUGGGCGCAAGCCUGAUCCAGCAAUGCCGCGUGCAGGAUGAAGGCCUUCGGGUUGUAAACUGCUUUUGUACGGAACGAAAAGCCCUGGGUUAAUACCCUGGGGUCAUGACGGUACCGUAGGAAUAAGCACCGGCUAACUACGUGCCAGCCGCCGCAGUAAUAC